rnacentral:lncRNA from 1 species
UCCUCUCUCUCUCAUGUGUAACCUAUAAAAAAAAAGUAAAUUUCACGAAUGGUCCUUAUGGUUUGGAAUGAUUUGUACAUUUGAUCCCUAAUAUUUUUUUAACUCAAACCAUCCUAUAGUGUGAUUUUAUUGAAUUGCUGAACAACUUAAAACUCAAACCAUCCUAUAGUGUGAUUUUAUUGCGUAACAACUUAAAACGACUCUGUUAUACCUUUCUUAUUUAUUAAUUUAUUUUAAUUUAUUUGUUUAAACUUUUAUAUUCAUAUAUAUUGAAAGAUGGGUCCCACUCAUCUCCAUAUGUGUAACCCAGAGAGAAAAAAAUAGGUCGAGGCCCUUAUCCACCUAAAGGUUUAUUAUCUUCCUCAGUUUCUCGAGAGAAUCACUUCCAUCGACAUCCCCUAUUCUUGACUUCAACCUGCAAAUCAGAAAUCUAAGUAGAGAGGAACCCCAUGAUAACACCAUUUGCAACUAAAAGAAACCCACCUAAAAGUUCGUAUAACUCAACCUCGAUUGUUAUGAUGGAGUACAGAUGAUUUGUAGAAAUGUGGAGGCGUAGAUGAUACUGUUCUGGAUCCGAAUUUUCUAAGCUUCGGUUUCCGACGAUUGGUGAAACUCAACCCACAACUUGGUAAGGAAACGCGAAUAAUGUUGCCAGCUAUGGCGCUGUUUGAUCCCCUUUAUCUGAUUCCAAUUUAGUAGAUAUGAGCCUCUCAUCCAAAAUGACACCCUUUUCUCGAUCUAUAAAAGCUGUAAAUCAAAGGUAAGAUUUGGAUUUUGCAAUGUAAACAACUCCACCUGUUUAAAUCAAAGUCCCAUUUUGACUUUUUCAAUUGCACAUUGUCCUUUGAGGCUGAUGAUUCUCUUCAUAAAUAGAUACUUCCGUUGAUUAAGUGGAUUUUAGCAAAUUUGAUUCUCUUCACUCGAUUCCGUAUUUGUCACCUCCCUGUUUUAUCAGCAAAACCAAAAUGACCUGCAUAAUCAAAAUAAACUAAGUUUUUUGUUCGUCGGGUUAUAAGGGGUGAAAUCCGAUCGAAAGCGCUCCAACUAGUUUAGGGGACGACGCUCAAGUUAAGCUUGGCAGGGCUAUUAAGUUCCAUCCAUUUGUGGUUCUUAAAUAGGGUUGUAAGUGAGCCGAGCUAUUAGUGGGUUACUCGGGAUCGACUCGUUAGAAACUCGACUCGAGGUCGAAUUAAACGAGCAUGAUCCAAGCUCGAGCCUAAAUAUGAGGCUCGUUUAUUAAACAAGCUCGAGCUGAACUUCAAUUACUUGGCUCGCGAGCUUAAAUGAGCCUCUCUUAUAUAUAUAAAGGCUCAUUUAGGCUCACGAGCCCACUAAAUUAUUCACGAGCCGAGCUCAAGCUUCAUUUUAAGGCUCGAAUCGAACUCUAGCUCGAGCUUCCUCAAAAUUAAACGAGCCGAGUUCGAGCUUAGUCACGCUCGGACUCGGCUCUUUUAUACCCCUAUUCUUAAAGAUAAGAGAGUAGAGAGAGAGAGAGAGAUGGUUAUCAGGUUUACACAGAUUGUCGUUCCGAUAGUAACAGAGGAUACUAGAAUUUCAUGUGAUGUUUCUUGCAAGUUGCAAUUAGAUGUGAGAGAACGAUGAAGAUAUAAAAGGUAAGAAAGAGGUAAGGAAGUUGAUGUAUGCCACGGAAGAUGGGAGAGAAGAGAGGGUGGGUGGGACCCACAUGUAUUAAACAAUUUGUUUUAUAGUUUCUUUUAAUAAGUUAAUAAUAAAUAUAAUAAUUAAAAUAAUAGAUACAGGUAUAACUGUCUUUUUAAGUCGUUUAGGGACCAACGACAUGAUAAAAUCAAACUACAGGAUAGUCCGAAUUAAAAAAAAAAAAAGUUACGGGUCAAGUGUGCAAAUCACCCCAAACCACAGGGACCAUUUGUGUAGUUGAUUAUUAUGUAUAAAGAAGAAGAGAGGGGUUAUGACUUACAAAGGGGUAAGUAAGGGAGAGGGAGGUUAUGAGUUAAUAUGGGACCCAUUUAUGAACUAUACCUAAGGUUGGAAUGAUUUUUAAUAAAUUUAUGAAUUAUAUGUAAUUACGUAAAUACAAUGGAAUGUUUAAAUUCUACUUUAUAUAUUAUUUGAUCAUUUUUAUAAUCUUUGUAAUAUGAAGUUGUUUUUGUUAGACGAUAAAAUUAUAAUUUUUCUCAUCCAGUUAGAGAGGGUGCUUGACAUACUUUUGAAAUGAUUUUUUGGUUUUUUUUUUUUCAAAUCAAAAAGUUUAAAAAGAUGUUUGAGAAUUCUAAAAGUUUUUUUAAAUAGUUUUUUGGUAAGAAGAAAAUACAUUUUUUAAAAGUUUUUUUUAGAAUAGCUUUUUGGCAAGAAGAAAAUAUAUUUUUUAAAAGUUUUUUUAAAAUAGCUUUUUGGCAAGAAGAAAACACAUCUUUUUUAAAAAUCAUAAAAUACUAGUUUUAGAUUACUUUUUUAAAAGUAAAAAACUAAAAACUAUUCCAAACACAAUUUAAAAACAUAUUUUGACAAAAAUAAAAAGUCAAUAAAGUUUUUUAUAAAAAGGCCUUUUGAAAGCGAAACACACCUUCAACAAAUAGUGAAUCAUUAGACCUUUGAAUAGUUCAGGCCUGGCGUCUUAAUUAUUCAGCAUGCACUGAAUCUUUCGGUUUCUGCUAAAAAAAACCCAAAUAACUCUGAUCUCUUAAUGUGUCUACUUCAUCACAAUUCACAAAAUAGCUCAAAGCUAAAACUUGAUACAUUAAUGCUACAAACUUUGUAUCACUUUGAGAGGAAAAGAGGGGUUCAUACACUCUUUUUAUGACUUGCCAUUAAUCCUUUCUACAACUGUGAUAAGCCCCUGAGUCCCAAGCUUACCGUCCCCAUUAGCAACCAUACCGGAAAAUAAUUGCUUAGAUAAAGCAGCGCCGGGCAACACCACCACCUUAUCACCCUCCUCCUCCACAACAUCUAAACCCAUCCCUAAAUCUUUCACCAUGUACUCAGCAAACCCACCAGGCCUAAAGUCUCUUCCGAUCAUCCUUUCCCCAAAUAAAUCCAUCGCUAUAGACCCUGCAGCUCCUCCCCUCACCGCCUCCAACCACCGUCCCUUAUCCAGCCCUGCCGCCUCAGCAAACACCAGUCCUUCACUCAACCCCAACAAACUCCCACCCACUGUGAUCUGAUUAGCAAUCUUACAGCUCUGUCCACACCCAGCAACACCCACGUAAGUCGGUUUCCCCAUUAAAUUAAACAAAGGAGAUAGCCACUUCACAACGCCUUCAUCUCCGGCAGCUAGUAUAGCCAAUUUCCCUUCUCUAGCGCCAAUAUCACCACCGGAUACCGGAGCAUCGACGGACCAGCAAUUCUUCUCGCGGGCAGCAUCAAAAAUCUGUUUCGCAAGAGUUGGGUGGCUGCUAGUGUGAUCGAUUAUGACACUGCCGGGGUUUAAAGAAGAUAGAAUUGAAUCAGGAUUCUCUAAGACAAUUUGUCGAACAUCUGAUGGGUGUCCCAGCAUUGUGAAUACCACAUCGCUUGCUUUGGCGACUUCCGAUGGGGAGUCAACGAGAUGGGCGCCUUGCGAUUGGAGUGAUAGGGUUUUGGAAGGGGUUCGAGCGUAGAUGUUGAGCACGUAGCCGGCGGAUAGAAGCCGGGAGGCCAUUGCAGCGCCCAUUACUCCUGUGCCUAUCCAUCCGAUUCGGGUUUGUGAUGGGGUUAUCGGUGUUGGGUACGGACUGUUCAUCGUGGAGAAGGAAAAUGGUCCGCCGGAGAUGAGGAAUAAACGGUGUUUGGUCGAUAAAAGUGUUUGGUUUUUGUCGUUAACAUAGAGAAAAUUACAUAAUUGGUCUGUAUGGUUUCUCAAAUUUACAAGUUCAUCCCCUAACUUUUUCGGUUUAUAUGAUGAUCUUUCUAGUUUUUAUUUGUUGCAUGUUGGUCUCUAAUCUAUAUAAAAUUACUUAUAUAUAAUUUUUAAUUUCUUUUACAGUUUGUUUUUAAUUGUUUUAGAGGGAAAUAUCCAGAAAAGUCGUAGUAUUUACCAUAGUUUACGAAAAAGUUCCAACUAAAUUUUGUUUACGAAAAAAUAUGAAUUACGGGUAAAAAUGACGAUUUAAUCAAAUUUUCACAGUUUAUCGGUUUCAUUACUUAUCCGGUUCCAUUAAAGUUUCAUUAUUUUACUAUAAUUUGUGAAUAAGUCUCAAACUAAAACUUAGUGAUGAUUUGACCAUUUUCUCCAUGUAAUAUAUAUUUUACCGGUUUCAUUACUGACAUGAACGCCUAGUCAUUAAAUGAGCUGAUGAGAUGGAUACUAUGAGUUAUAUAAUGAUAUGUUUACCGUAAAAUUUGAUAUCCAUCUCAUAACUCAUUUAUGAUUAUGUAAGGUCAACAAUGAAACCGGUAAAAUAUGUAUUUUUGGUCAAGGCCAACCUAAAGGGAGGGCAAGCUGAGCAACCGCCCUAGGCCUCGCCAAAUCUCGCGGCCCCUAUAAAUUAUGAUUAAUACAUGUAUAGUUUUUCUAUAUAAAAUAUAAUGUACAUCUGAAUCGACAAAGGUACUUGGAGUUGAGAUGGUUGAGGCCCCGACAUAGCAAUCUUAAGAGCUGGUAUGCCCUGUGAUCGAAUCUUGGUCUUUUCUUUAUAAUCGAGUUUUCGUAUUUUUCUUUAUAAUCUAGUUUUGUAAUGGUUUUUUAAGAGGUCCUUCUCUCAAAGCGACUUUUUAGUUUUCAAGAAACAAUUGAAUCAACUGAAUCGCCUUCCCAAUGCGAGUUUUGAUUUCGAGAGUGAUUUUUUUAUUUUUUAAGAAGAAACCAAACCACCUUCCCAAAGAUACUUCACUUAUAAUUCUAGGGUCUUUAUCGAUUAAGACCUUGUGUUCUGGGGCGACUUCAAGCUUUCUUAGUUCGUUUCAACGAGUUCAAGCUUCCCAAUGUUCUAAGGCGACUGUAUAUAAAUCUCAAAUCAGUGCCUUUAGUCUUCCUUGGUUCAUUUCAAGAAGUUCAAAUGUAUUGAUUAUUUAUUUUGGUUUUGCUUGAUUUAUGAUAUUCCUUGACCUAAACCAACACUUGUAUGCAUUGCUCUAUUGUGUCCCUUUGAGUUUUUGAAUUAAAGGGUAUAAAUUAACUGGUCUAGCAUAAGCUGAUCGGGCUAAAGACCGGCAAUGUUCGGACCACUUAUUUAAAGGAGUUAAUCCUUUUGUGUCUUGAAAAAUGCUUUCAUAUUGGUCCAGUAAAGUCUUGAUGAACAUAGUAGCUCCUUCAUAUACUAAGUUAUUUGAUGAUUACUUUAUGUUUGCGAUUUUUGUUGCAUUGCAAAUAUGGGAUGCAUUAUACAUGUGAUUUUUAGUUCAUUAAAUUUAGUUAUUUGAGCAUAAUUAUCGAAUGUGGUGCAAGUUAUUUUUAGUUUCAAUAGUUAUAAUUAAGGGGUUUUUCUUAUCAAACAUUGAAGAAUCUUGUAUAUGUAUUACUAUUUGUCUUGGUAAUGAGAAGUCAAACGCAAAUUUGGAGCCAAUAAUACAUUGUACUUAUCUAAUGUUGCAUGCUUAACACAAUUGUAAAAGGGUUCAAAUUUCAGUGAAAUAUGCAUUGCUAUUCUACAUUCUUUGGGUGUUUUGGAUCUAUAUUGGAAAACUUGAGGCUAGUAUUGCUUAAAGUCUUCUUUACAAUACCUUGAUAUUCACAAGAUGGGUAAUGCGCAUCGUAAUUGUAUGUAUUUGUAUUUGCUUGCUCUGUGUUAGCCUUUCAAUAAAUAAAAUCAUUGGAUGUUAAAAAAACUAUAAGUUUUGAAUUUUGAAGGGCCUUGUUUUCAUUUUUGUCCCAGACCUUAAAUCGGUUUGGAUCGGUCCUGUUUUCGGUAAAAAGGGCAGGAAACGAGCUAAUGAGAUAUAUAUAAUGGGAUACAUAGGAUUAAAUAGACAAUUUGAAAUUUAUUAUAAACUUAAAAAACGGUGAAGUUGUUGCUAGUUUAUGUAAUUUUUGCAGUCUUCAGUGGAUGCAUUUUAUAUUCCGAAAAAUAUACAAUACAUCAGGAUAUCAAGUUUUAUGGUAAACAUAGCAUUAUAUAACCCAAAUCAACUUAUUUAAUGACUAUGCGUUCAGGUCAACAAUGAAACCGGUAAUAUGUAUAUUACAUGGAGAAAAUGGUCAAAUCAUCACUAAAUUUUAGUUUGGGACUCAUUCGUAAAUUAUGGUAAAAUAGUAAGACUUUAAUGGAACCGAGUAAAUAAUGAAACCAAUAAAUCGGGAAAAUGGGUCAAAUCGUCAUUUUUACUGGUAAUUCAUGUUUUUUCUUAAUCAAAUUUUAGCUUGAGACUUUUUCAUAAAUUAUGGUAAAAUAUUAUGACAUUUUUGGAUAUGCCCUUUUUUAGGAGCAAAAAAAAAGAUUGAAAGGAAAAAAGGUGUUCUUAUAAUUUCUUAAGAGGAAAGGAAAUNNNNNNNNNNNNNNNNNNNNNNNNNNNNNNNNNNNNNNNNNNNNNAUGAAAGAGAAUAAAGGAAAAUUAUGUUUGUAUGAGUUCAAUUUUUAGCGGAUUAAAAAGAAAAGUAAAAAAAAAAUGAUUAUACCAUUACAUUUCUCAAUUCCUCUUUAAACUUAGGGGGUGUUUGAGAUUGCUAUUAAACAUCAAAAGUCCUUUUUGUAAAAUGACUUUUUUUGUAAAAGAAGCUCUUUAAAAAGUAUUUGGAUUAGCAAAAGACUUUUAGCUUAACUUUUACAUGUAAAAUCACAAAAAGUCAGGUUUUUGUGACUUUUUGAAACCCCUCAUUUUACUCUAUACAAAAAGUCAUUCAAAAAAGAAUUUUUCUAUUACCCAAAUAUCUUUUUAACUUUUUGAAAAAGUUAAAAUUCAAAAGUCAUUCUAAAACAAUCUUAAACACCCCCUUAAUAAUACAUAAUCCCAUAUCCUUUUUCCUAUUACAUCCUCUCAUUUCUUUCCUUCUCUAUAAUUUUUAAUCUUAAGAGCAAGGUGUUAGCCUUCUCGGUUUCUUUGCAAUUAAAUAAAAUUAAAACGCCCUUCAACCCCUGUGGUGACUAUUUUUUAAAAUGUAAAAUGUCUUUAAUAUUUUUUUAUGUUUGUGGAAUAAAAUAUGGACCAAAAGUCUUUUUCUAUGUACAUUAGUCUUUUCAUAAAGUAUAUGUUUUUUAAAGUCUUUAUGAAAAAAGAUCAGUGGUGUUGGUGGUGGCUACGAUGGUGAAGGUGGCGGAAAUGAUGGUGGUGGUGGUGGCAGAGUUAGAGGAGGUGGGGCGGCAGAGGUGGUAGUGGACUGGUGGUUGUGGAAGUGACAUCGAUAAUAAAGCGGUGAUGGCGACGGUGAUGAAAAAAGAAACAUCUUCCAAAAUCAAAAACUAUUUUUUUUAAGAUCAAAAUGACUUUUUUAUGUCUUUUGUUUUUUUAAAAACAAACCAUAUUUUCCUUAAAUGUCUUUCAUACAUAGAAAUAAGAGGUCAAAUUUUUUUUUUUUUUUUUGCAAACAACACGUAAGUCACCAACUAUACAAAAUAUUAUCAUUCUCUCAAGACGACAAACUUUACCUAUUGCUGAUGAAGAUCAAGAUUGGAGCAAAGAGACACGAGUAAGGGGAGGUCGUUGUUAUUUAUGAAUGAUUUCUGUAAAAACCUCCAUCAACACAUCCAUCAUUGCUCCAUAAUGGAUUAUACUUUUUCAUAUAAUGAUUUGUGGUGCUGGUGCAAUGAAGAGAUUUCAGUGUAAAUCCCUCGGUUUAACUUUUCAUAUGUUCUCAAUGAUGAUUAGAAAUAAACUUGCAUUGACAUCUUUAUAUACGAAUUGCAAAAGGGGUUGAAGAUUCUUACUUGUUUCUCUUUUAUAUGUUGUCAAUUCUUAUGUAAAUCCCGCUAAAUUUGGAUGAAGAAAAAGGAGAGUGAACGGCUAGGUUUAUCGACGGAAGCAUUUAUUCUUCAAAAGGAGCUCACCAGUUUGGAAAUAUUCACCUACUUGAUAAGGGGGUGUUUAUAUUGCUUAUUUAACUUAAUAAUUUAAAAUAUAUAUAUAUUUAUUAGUUUAUGUGAUGGUAAAAAUAAGUUUUUUAAAAAAAUAUUUGGAUUAUUUUAUAUUAUGACAAAAAAAACACAUGAAUCGAUAAGCUUUUUUAAUGUUUGAAUUAGCUUAAAUAUGUAUAUGUAAAAUGACCAAUGAUAUGCCUUACAUACUUGUAACUAUUUAAUAUUUUUAUAUAUAAGAUUUUAUGUAAAUAUAUUAAAUUAUAAACUAAAAUGUUAGAUUUUGAUGGAGGUAUUAUUGUGGUUUCAUAUUUAUAAGUAUAAAUUGUUUUAAAAAGUAAAAAAAAAUGUAACUUAUAUAGAAAAUGACUUUUUGAGGUUGGUAAAAAGUUAUUUACUAAUGUGUUUAUUAGCUUUCCAAAUAUUUUUGACUUUUUGAGAAGUUAAUAAAUCAACAAAUCAUUUUAAAACUUAAUCCUAAACACCCGUUAAGUUUGCGAUAAUCACGAUUCACAAGCAUUAUAUUGUCAAAUCAUUAUUUGAAGGACAGAUUGCUAAAGAAGAUAAGCAAACAACUUUGCAUGUUUAUCGUUCAUAUAUUGUUUAAGCAUUGAAUAUUAAGUAUUAAAAGAAUAUGAUAUUUGUUAGAAGUUCAUUCAUUGUUAUUUCUCAUCCGGUAAAACUUGUUAGUCAUAAAUAAGUAAAUAACCAGUUCCUUAUUAUGUAUAUUCCAUAUCAUGCUUAAGGAUUGGAUUGUACAAAGCUUAUCGAAUGAAAAUGGUUCCUUAAACUUUUUGGAAUCAUAUCCGACCUUGCUUUUAUAGAAUGUAUAAUAUUUUGAAUAAUUAUGUAUCAUUCUCUUUAUUCUCAAAGAUAUUCAUAGAUUACAAUGAAGAGUCUUAUAACUUGUAAAAACUCAACAUACCCAACAUCAUCAUCUGUUAUAUCAAUUUAGGACUAACAGACAGGUGGUUUUCAUAGACUUACAACACAAACCUCACUACACAAGCCCUAUACUACUCUCAAUAACAGGUCACUCAACCUAAUCUAAAAGAUGAUUAAGAACAACAAACUUAUAUUGCAAGAAUNNGUAGUGUGUGUGUAGGGACGUAUGGAGUUAAAGAAAUAGAAAAAGAACUUGGGUGGUGGAGGUGUUUCUAUGGGAUUGGAAAGUUAUUCAUAGACAACGAUUUUUCUUCAUACACAAGGAUUUAUGUUUUAUAGAGUUGUACAAUACAACAUUUUGAAACACAAAUUAUUGUGUAUGGAGAAAAAUUGGAUCACGUAAAAACAUGUAAGUGGUCAGUGGAUAAGGUGUAGAACCGAAAUAACGGUAGGUUUCUGGAACAAGUAAUUUUUCGUGUAUUUAUUUAAAGAAAAAAAAACAGAAGAUGAUGAUGAUGACGGUGUCUAUAAUAUGGUGAAAUAGUCAUCGUUAAGAUAGUUUUAAAAUGGUUUAAAAGUCAUUAGAUUUUAAAUUCGAUUUUGAAGUUUAAAAGUGUUGGGAAUAGGAUCCUAUUCUUCAAAAUAGCUUUAAUUUCUUUGAAAUAGCAAUGUUAAAUCAAUUAAAUCAUUACAGAAAUUUCAAGUAGAUUAAUGUAAAUCGUAAAAUUAUUGUUAACAACUAUUUAGUCUAGUUGAAUAGCUUUUCUAUUGUGUGAGAAGUCUUAGGUUCAAAAGUUGUAAUUUUAAUAUCUAUAAUUUAUUUUAUUAUUCCCAUUCCAUCCAUUUAUCCAAAAAAAACAAAAUAGAAGGAUAACCUCGGGAGAGAAGGACGUUGAUCGAGCUUUUCCAUGCUAAAUCCCAGUUUCGGUUAAAGACCCAGAACGUGCUACAGAUCUAUACUAAUGAAGUUUUUAUGUGAGAAAGUCAAGCCAGGAAGUCCUUCUCUCAUUCUGGUGCUUGUAAGAUAAGACCAGCAGAUGAAUUAGGAAAGAGGAUCUAUGCCCGGUUAAAGUGAAAGGUUGUAGUGAGAGCGACGAGGCUUACUUUCUCUUUGGUUCAGCUACUAAAUAGAUAAGUCCUUUCUGCUCGACUAUAGCCAUCAGAGUGGGGAUGAGGCAGAAACACUUGCCGCACGUGAUAAUGCCACAUUAGAUAGAAGGCUUGUACAAAAAAAACCGGUUUACGAUCCGAACCGGUGGCCGAACCAAAAACCGGUUCACCCUUGAACCGGACCACUGUUGAAAUGAUCCGAUGCCAAACUGAACCGCCGGUUUGUAGUAAUUAGGACUUCUAGCCAUUCGAACCGGUUUUGAACCGGUUUAUGCUGAACCGGUCAAGAAAACCGGUUUUGAACUGAUUUUGAACCUGUCUAGAGAACCGGCCUUACAAAUUAACCAUGCAUAUAUUAGCCAUGAUAUCCUAAGAAACAAAGCAAACAUUGUAAAAAAGAAGCAAUUCCGUUCGAUUUUUUUGAAAUGGCACACCGGACCGAUUUUGAACCGGUUUAUGGUGAACCGAUUUGAGGUGAACCGGUUUAUAUUGAACCGAACCGGUUUGUAUAGGUUCGAAUUAUUUUGGUGGUGAACCGGUUUGAAACCGAACCGGUUUUAACCUUGUUGACCAGAACUGAACCGGUUUUUUGAACCGGUCCGGUUUAAAAAAAUGGGUUUGUGCACGCCUAGAUGCAUAGUUUUUUGUAUUUAAAUGGGCCUCCAAAAUGGGCCGAGUCUGUUUAUUCAUGCAAUGAUGUAGGGCUGCAAGAGCAUUAGUGAUUUUAGGACAAACAUGUUAAAUUUCAAGAUAAAAUACGACCCAAUUAAUAGUCAAAACUUAAAAACACAAAAUAAAAACAACUUAUUUUAAAAAUAAAAUACAAUACAAACACUUAUCAACGCUGAGUCCCAAACUCAUAGCCAUGUAAAUUAAGACCUCGUAUAAGGGUCUUAUUAUAUUAUUCCAUAAAUUUUAUACUUCCAUCAAUACCAUAUAUAUUAAUAUUAGGUUCUUGGAGGAAUAAUCAUCAAACUCGUUGUAUUCUUGGCGGAGCCAGGAAUUUUGAUAUGGGGGUACAAACAUUAUCAAUAUAUAUUCUAUGUAGUUAUCAUAUCCCGGACAUUAAAAAACAUGGUACAAUAUCUUAAGUUGGGGGUACAAUAACAUAGAUCAUGUUUACAAACAAAUUUUUUUUAUAUACAUAAAACAAUUUUUUGGGGAUGCUGUAGUACCCCCAACGCCCCAUCUAGCUCCGCCACUGCUUUAAAUCAAAAGAGAUGGAAACUAUGUAUGAAUCGAAAAUCUGGAGGGCGUUAAAAUAUAUAGGCCACUUUCUUGUACUAUUAUGAGUUAAAUGCAUGUUUAUCCCCUCACGUUUUUAUUUUUUAAAUUUAUCAUUUUAUGUAAUGAAAUGGAUUUCUUAAUGAUUCAUACAACAAUGUAUACUGACACCAUUAAUUUGUAUGUUAAUUUAUGUAAUAAAGCUAAUUUCUACAUAACUUGGUAAGCUUUUAAUUAACAACUUGAGACGUUGUAUAAUUUGGCUCAAAAGCUAUCUUAUUUAAUCAUUGCAGAUUUUUGCCGGUAUAGAGCAUCCACAAUUAGUAGAGUUUAUGUUUUUUUUAUGACAUCAAAUCAUAUAUAACUCAUCAAUUUAUAAAGUUCUAAACAAUCUCCAAAAUAUAAGAGCUUUUCCACGAACUUAUUUAUUGAAUCCACCAAAUAAAAAGCCGCUAUUUUGCUUUUCUUUUUCCAGGAAAAUCACUAGGGCGUUUGUUUAGUUUGAUUCCUAAGGAAUGGAAAGGAAUCGGAAACUAAAAUCCAAUAGCAAAUGUGUUUGGCUUUCAAAGGAAUGGAAUAUGAUUUCCAUAAGUACUUUUUAAUUUCGAAGAUUUCUCAUUCAUCCCCCAUGUAUCAAGAAUCCACAUUCUGUUAGCUUAUCUUUUUUUUAUUUAUUUAAAUUACAGAAUUAUCCUCCUAUAUAUAUGGGAUUCUUGUAAAACAAAAUCAUCUAUGUGAUUUUUCAUAUCUUUUCUACGAUUACCUUCUUCUAUCGAUUAUAUAUAUAUAUNNNNNNNNNNNNNNNNNNNNNNNNNNUAUAUUUUUCUCCAAUCGGUAUUUGUCAAAAAAAUCAUCUAUCGAUCAUAGCUAUUGUGUUGCCGUAUUUCACCUCUGGUUCGUCAUUCUUCUACUGCUUUAAUGUAUCUAUCAUCUUUGUUUACAGGUAAACAUCUCAUGUUUUAUUUUUCUGCAAUUCACUGUGUUCAACCAUUUUUUUAUAUAUUUGUAAUCUAUGAUUCAUCUUUGCAUGAUAGAAAAUAGAAUAAUUUUUUAACAUUUGUGAUGCUUACUACAUCUCUUGUUUCUUUGUGUGAAAUAUGAACAAUUUUCUUUACAUGAUAUGUACGUAUAAGAUUUUUGCUUUAGAUUUAUUAUGUGGGAAGUGCAGCUACUCCUUUUUUAACUAUGCCUACCAAGUGUUUGUAGUAUUGCCUAUGUGGUAUUUUUUAUAUUUGCCGUUAUGAGCUUUUGAUUUUCUUUUGCUUUUUACUCCUAUUACUAAUAAAGAUUAUUUUAUUGGAGAAGAUGAUAUACAAGUCCAAAACAUUAUUUUAAAAGCUAUAAUUAUCAACCAUUCAAUUCAUAAAUAAGUUCACAGAUUAGUUUGUUUGCAUGCUUCAUACAUUAUUUGAUAAGUCCAAUUGAUUCUGUUUUUCAUAGUAAAUAUACCUACGGAUUUCCAAGGUAGACGGAUAUAUACACUUUUAAAGAUGCAAUGUCAUUAUUUUUUUAUGAUUGCAUAUGAACUUGCAACUCAAAUAUGUUAAUGAUCUAAUUUCAUAAAAAUAUAAAAUAUUAUUUCUUUGAAAUGUAAAAUUUUCCUUGUAUGAGAGAUGAACAGGAAAUGGCACGGCUUAGUCUAACUAGAAGCAAACAUAGAAAGAGGAUAAAUCAAAUAGUUGUUACGUUUUGGAAUGAAUUUUAUCACGGUGUGCAAGUUACUACAAAUAUACGGAGGGGAUAAACCACGUAUCAAAAACAUAUCUUCAAAUGUGGAUCGACAAUCAAUAUUGCACAAAUAUGCUUACAAAAGAGACAAUACGUGCAUAUCACACCUUAGGAUGACCCGAAGAUGUUUUACAAAGUUGUGUGACAUGCUUCAUACAUUAGGUGGGUUAAGAUCAAGUAGACAUGUUGAUAUUGAUGAACAAGUGGCCAUAUUUCUUCACAUUAUUGCACAUAAUGUGAAGAACCGGGUCAUGAUCAUAGACCGUUUCCAACAUUCUGGCGAAACAAUUAGCAAAAUUGUUACGCGAGUUUGCAACGCAGUGAUAAGGUUGCAUCCACAUUUGCUUAAGAAACCCGAACCUGUUACAGAAAACUCUACAAAUCAAGAUGGAAGUGGUUUAAGGUAUAUAUACUACUUAUAAAAUUUUCACGUAGUGUAUAAAUUUCUUGAUAUAAUAUAUGACCAUUUCUUUUCUUAUAUCGUGUAGAACUGUCUAGGAGCUUUAGAUGGAACACAAAUAAAGUGCUUAGUGCCACUUAAAGACAAGCCUAAAUAUAGGACACGAAAAAAUGAUAUUGCCACAAAUAUACUAGGUGUGUGUUCACAAGAUAUGCAGUUUAUCUAUGUUUUACUGGGGUGGGAGGGCUCAGAUGUGGAUGGUAGAGUGCUUCGAGAUGCCCUACUUAGGCCACAUGGAUUGAAGGUCCCGAGGCCGGGUAUGUAUAAUAAUUGGUAUUGUGGAUAUAUAUUAGUUAUAGUUAUUAAUUAUACUAACUAUAUUAUACAUAGGUUAUUAUUUGGUGGAUGCUGGUUAUAUAAAUGGUGAAGGAUUCUUAGCCCCAUAUAGAGGUCAAAGAUAUCAUUUGAAUGAUUGGCAUGUUGGACACCAACCAACUACACCUAAAGAAUUAUUCAACAUGAGACAUUCUUCUGCUAGAAAUGUUAUAGAAAGAUGUGUUGGUAUUUUGAAGGCGAGAUGGGGAAUUUUAAGAGACAAAUCAUAUUAUCCUAUUAACCUUAAAAAUAAGAUUAUAAUGGCUUGUUGUCUUCUUCAUAAUUAUAUAAGGCAAGAAAUGACAGUUGAUCCAUUUGAGAACCGCUUUGAACUAGACGAGGGAACUGGAGAUGUCGGUGGUGGAGAUGAUGAUAAUAUCACUUCUGUUGGUAUAUCAAAUAAGUGGACUACAUUUAGAAACUAUGUUUGAUUCUUGGCAUACUACACAUUGAUCAUUUCUUUUUUGUUAUGUUUAUGAUUUACUAUGAAUGAAUUUGUGCUACCUUUGUUAUUUUUAAUAAUAAAGUUUUAUUUAUUUUUACUAGUUAUAUUUUUUUAUAUAUAUGGUUGGGUAUUAUUGUAUUGCAUGCAUUUUUUCAUCUAUUUUUUUUUGUUUAUAAUAAUAGGUGUGAUGGAAAAAAGCAGAAACUGUCGCAACUGGACUAUUACUGAAGAUGUCAAGCUUGUGGCAGCAUUGGUAAAUAUGGUGAACAUGGGAGGAUUUAAAGCAGAUAAUGGUUUUAAAUCUGGAUAUUUAGAACAUCUAGAAAACGCAUUAAAGGAAAAAAAAUUCCAAACUCUGGCAUUUUGGGUAAACCCCACAUUGAGUCAAUGAUCAAAACUAUGAAAAAAGAAUGGCAAGUCGUUUAUGAUAUGGUGAAUGGUACGAACACAAGUGGUUUCGGUUAUGAUAACUCCACUCAUUUUGUAACAGCUGAACCAUCAGUUUGGGAUUCUUAUUUACUGGUACAAUAUUAAAAUUCUUAUAUAUUUUAUGACUUUUUAACUAUUUAUAUUAUAUUUUUAUGUGCUAAUGUUUUAUGAUACACAAUAGGUUCAUAAAGAGGCUGGAAAAUGGAGAAAUAAGAUAUUUCCUCAUUACGAGGAUUUAUGUAUCAUUUUUGGAAAGGAUUGAGCUCAAGGAAAUAAAGCCAAGGGUUUUGCCCAAAUGGAAGAAGAUGCAAACAAUGAAGAACAAUCUGAACAAGCAGAAGGCGGUUUUGAAGAACAAACCACAGAAAAUGAAGAAUCUCCAAACGUGGGCUCCAAAAAGAGAAAAGGUAGAGUUGAUGUUGUUAUUAAGGGAAUAACUAUUGCAGCUAAUGUCCUUGGAGAAAAACUUGAAAAAGCGGCGACUAGCAUGAAUCAAGCAAUACUAGGAGAAACAGAAGUACAAAAAAAAAAAAAAAAAAAAAAAAAAAAAAAAAAAGAAAAAAAAAAAAAAAAAAAAAAAAAAAAAAAAAAAAAACUUUGAUGGUGAUUCCCGAAAUUUCAAAAAUGCAGUCAUUGAGUACCUUGGAUAUGUUCAAAGCAAGUAGGAAAAUAAUACGUGAUCCGGAAACCGUGUUAAGCUUUUGGAAUUUGGAAGGAGAAGAUUGGGAGGAUUUUGUGAGGUUUAUGUUGAAAGAGUGAUAUGAUUAUGAAUUAGGUAUUUAGACAACAUUUUACGUAGUGCGUGGUUAACUUUUUUUUUAAUUUAAUAUUGGGAAUAAUGAAUGGCUUCGUUGUUUUAUAUUAUUAUAUAUAAUCAUUUGUUUCAAUUUAAAAAAUAUAUUUAUUAUUUGUAGUUGUUCAACGAAAUGCAAGUUAGUUAUUUUUUUUAAUUUAUAUUUUGUAGAAUAGUUCCAUAAAAAGAUGUUGUAAUUAAAUAAAACUGUCUUAAAAUAAUUAAAUAAAUAAAACUUUAUCUUGUUUAUUAAAAAAUAUAAAGGGUAUUGUCGUCAUAUUAUAAAAUUUAUUUUCCAAUUCCUUUGUAAAAUCAACAAACCAAACAGAAAACAUAUUUCAUGUCCUCCAAAUGCAUUUCAGCUUCUAGUACAUUCAGAUUCCAAUUCCUUCAGAAUCCAAUUCUUUUGACAGAUUUCAUUCCUUCAAAAAACAUUCUGCGAAACAAACGCCCCUAAAAAUUGAGAAUGGUUUAGAAAGACCAUUCAUAUUUAAAAACUUUUCAAAAAAACAUUAUUUUUUAAUAAUACAAUCGUAAUUUCUAACCAUGGACCAAAGUUUAUUAACCACUAGGAUUGAGAAUAGUUUGGGAUUU